AUUGAACGCUGGCGGCAUGCCUUACACAUGCAAGUCGAACGGCAGCACGGGCUUCGGUCUGGUGGCGAGUGGCGAACGGGUGAGUAAAGUAUCGGAACGUACCUUUCAGUGGGGGAUAACGUAGCGAAAGUUACGCUAAUACCGCAUAUUCUGUGAGCAGGAAAGCAGGGGAUCGCAAGACCUUGCGCUGAUUGAGCGGCCGAUAUCAGAUUAGCUAGUUGGUGGGGUAAAGGCCUACCAAGGCGACGAUCUGUAGCGGGUCUGAGAGGAUGAUCCGCCACACUGGAACUGAGACACGGUCCAGACUCCUACGGGAGGCAGCAGUGGGGAAUUUUGGACAAUGGGGGCAACCCUGAUCCAGCCAUGCCGCGUGAGUGAAGAAGGCCUUCGGGUUGUAAAGCUCUUUCGGCCGGGAAGAAAUCGCAUGGGCUAAUACCCUGUGUGGAUGACGGUACCGGAAUAAGAAGCACCGGCUAACUACGUGCCAGCAGCCGCCGCCGUAA
rnacentral:rRNA from 1 species